rnacentral:rRNA from 1 species
UAAUUUUCUCUAUAAUUAAUAAUAAUAAAUAGAAACUUAAAAAUUUUGGCAGUUAAAUCUUAAAUUUAGAGGAGUUUGUCAUUCAGAAUUUACCCUUUAUAUUUUCAGAAUUUUCAUUAGCCUGUUAAUCUCCGUUAUUAAAUACUAAUCACUAAAAUUAACUUUCCCAUUUCAGGUCGAGAUGCAGCAAUAAAUUCUCUUUGAUUAUCUACAUUUAUUUAAGCUAUGGAUGUACUCUAAAAAAAGUACUUAAAAAGGAUUUAAUUGUAAUAUAUUUUAUCAAAAAUACAUGAAACCAAAGAUUUA